rnacentral:rRNA from 1 species
GGCACGUAGUUAGCCGGGACUUCUUCUGCAGGUACCGUCAGUUUCCCUUCGUCCCUGCCGAAAGGGGUUUACAACCCGAAGGCCUUCAUCCCCCACGCGGCGUCGCUGCGUCACGCUUUCGCGCAUUAGCGCAAGAUCCCCCACUGCUGCCUCCCGUAGGAGUCUGGGCCGUGUCUCAGUCCCAGUGUGGCUGGCCGUCCUCUCAGACCAGCUACCCGUCGUCGCCUUGGUGGGCCGUUACCCCACCAACAAGCUGAUAGGCCGCGGGCCCAUCCCGGACCGUCGGAGCUUUCCCGGCGCGACCAUGCGAUCGCGCCGGAGUAUCCGGUAUUAGCUCAGGUUUCCCUGGGUUAUCCCGGUGUCCGGGGCAGGUUGCCCACGUGUUACUCACCCGUUCGCCGCUCUCCCCUCGGAAGGGUUACCCCUCCUGAGGUUCCCGCUCGACUUGCAUGUGUUAGGCACGCCGCCAGCGUUCGUC